CACCAUGCCUGGUAUCCCUAGCUCUUUUUAUUUUUAAGGCAGCGAAUUGCCAAGGCUGGCCUUGAACUUUUGAUCCUCCUGCCUCAGCCUCUGGAGUCCUCAGGAUUAUAGGCAUGUGCCACCAUGCCCAGACUUUACUCCACUUUUACAGAAAAGGAAAUUGGGAUGCAGAGACAUUUCAGGAACUUGCCCAGGGUCACACAGCUAAUUAGUGGUGGGUCCAGGCCACCCAAACCCCAGCCUACUCUCCAGUUCUGCCCCAGUACAAAUGGGUGCAUUCUAUCAAGCCUGCCAAGGCUUUCUCUCCCUCCUCUGGGUAUCUGCACACCCAUGUCGGGCUCCCUCCAGCAGGGGCCAGGGCAGGGGUCGGUGGUGCUAAUGUCCCGGGAGCACUGGGCCUAGAUGAGGGCCCAGGAAGGGCUGGCUUCAUGAACAAACUAGUGAACAAAUGAAUGUCGCCGUCCUGCAGGUCUGCUCUCAGAGCUGAAGCUGACAGUGCCCUGGGGCCACAUUGCUGCCAAAGCCUGGGGCUCCCUGCAGGGCCCCCCAGUUCUGUGCCUGCAUGGCUGGCUGGACAAUGCCAACUCCUUUGAUAGACUCAUCCCUCUCCUCCCACAAGGUAGGGCGGGGGUGAAGGGAAGCUGAGGGGCCGCCUGCAGUGAGAGGCGGCUGAUGGGGACCCUUCUCCUGCCCCUUAUCUCUGGCCCAGACUUCUAUUACGUUGCCAUGGAUUUCGGAGGUCAUGGGCUCUCAUCCCAUUACAGCCCAGGUGUCCCGUAUUACCACCAAAACUUUGUGAAUGAGGUCCGGCGAGUCGUGGCAGGUGAGCAGGAGGCCGGGGUGUG
rnacentral:lncRNA from 1 species